ensembl:lncRNA
GUUUUCGACGCGCUUUCGCCGACAAAUGAUGAGCAGAGUUGUGAAAAUGUCAGUGUAUCUUUUUCUUUUUCUUUUUCUUGGCCGUCUACUCUUCAGGUCAUCAGAUUUUUAAAAGCACAUCCACAACUUCUCAAGGCAUGAAAUAUAACCUUCCAAUUAUCUAGUCAAUUUCUGCAAAAAAUCAAAAACAAAUCAUUCCUCUCAGAUAUUAAAAAAAAGAAAAAAAAUCUCCAAUCUGCGCGCAAAUGCAAAUUUAAAAAAAAAAGAAAGAAAGAAAGAAAAAGAAUAAUAUUCAAGACUUUUUUUUUUUUUUUUUUUGCUCCGUCUGUUACAAAAAAAAAAAAAAAACCUCGGCCGGUCCCAAUACUUUCCCCUCUGGAGAAGUUUCUGAGCGCACACUGAUCAACUUGAGAGCGACGUUGCCUUUUUAAAAAGAGCCGAGCCCUGCGAGCAGGGAGGCGCACUUGCACAUGCUGGCCGAGCUCCAGCCCAGCCCUCCCUCACCCCGACGCCACCACCGCCGCCGCCGCCGCCACCACCCCACGUCCCAGCAGUGGGUGCCUUUACCCCCACCCCCCACUCUCCAAAAAAAAAAAAAAAAAAAACAGAAGCUCCUAUUCUCGCAUUUUUAAAUCCCAGAGACCCUUGGGUCCCUCAAAAAAGGCUGCUCAUCCCGGGAAACCUCUCCAGUGAUUACAGAACGUGGUUGUUGUAAUUAGGACAUGGCUAUUUUAGAAUUGUUCUAGAAUCACGGAACGUUCCCCUUUGCUAUCUUUAUUAUUUCUUUUUUUAGGCCCAGGACUGAGUGGCAGAUGAAAGUUUGGGGGACGGCGGAGGGCCUGGACGAGGGCGAGGAGGCAGCUUUAAGCCCGGUUUGCCGCGUUCUGUGGGCAGGAACCCUGGCAGCCUCUGCACCGCAGUGCUUGCCGCUGUCAGGCUCUGUAAACUGGCACCGGCUCAGCCGGGUGUGGAGUAAGCGCUAAGAAGCUAAGAAGCUCAUCUGGUGCCACUUUCUUUGACUCCUGCCUGGCAAUCAAAUCCGCAGUGACGUGUGAGUCAGUGUUCUCAG